rnacentral:lncRNA from 1 species
AAGAAUCCAGCAUCAAUUCAUGUUAAUUCAUCACAAUAAGUGCAAAUCGAAUCAAAACAUUUGGAUCUACAACAUUAUGCACAUAAAAAAGAGAAGCUUUACAACAUUAUGCACAUUAAAAAUAGAAGCUUUACUUCACCAUUUUUUAUGAAAUUUAGAUCAGAAUGUUCAGUAUGAGAAGCUUUACAACAUUAUGCACAUAAAAAAGAGAAUUAG